AAAUCUCCAACAGGACCGCUGUCGCAGACAUCACCCUGCCCAGGUAGCCCGAAUCCUAAAGGCUACGGUGCGGUUCGCCGCAUUGAUUCAACCCAGUCCGUAUCGCAUUCGGCAGCGCGGACAAUCAUCGAUGCUCUCGAUGAUCGAAUGC
rfam:Pseudomonas syringae strain GAW0119 contig43.1, whole genome shotgun sequence.